GAGAGUAUUCAUCAACCUGCGUACACAAUAUAGAAAACAGUCAAGAACAAGUAACGAGUAGAGUCGGCAAGCGAAAGCUGUUGGAAAUGAACAUAGCACAUGUAUUGCUCCAUUUUUGUCCAUGGUAUACACAUGGUAUGCACCAAAACUGUUCUGGGUUAGCAACUGCAAACUCUUAAAUCCUGCAAAUAUAGAAGAUGUGUUAGAAAAACUGACUUGUAAUAAAUAACAGAAAAUGUCAAAUAGUUUCCUUAAUGGUUGUGCACUAUCAACUUAAAGCUGCAAGCCAAAUAUUUAAACUCCAAAUUCCAAACUCGAGCACUAAAGCUAGUAGUUUGGCAC
rnacentral:lncRNA from 1 species